GACAUAUGAUAGGCAUCUGCCCUUGAGGUCUUGCCAGCACCCCUCCUGCCCUCUGCAGCUUCCUGGUUGAAUGAGGGGCUGCAAGGUGACCACACAGGCUGCCCUGAUGGGCAUGUCCUGGCCUCUGGUCCAUAUCCCUUUCUGCUUGGCACUGGCCUCUCUUGGCUCUCACCUCCACCUUUGCCAAGCCCAGGAGCCUCCUUCCUCCAGGAAGCCUUCCGGAGAACCCUUCCCCCACCCCAACCAAGGUGCUCCCUCUCACUGCCUUGUUGCAAUUGUUUGUUUUGUAAUUGUCUUUCCCUGAGUUUGUCUUUCCUACCAGAUGGUGAUCCCUAGCAGGGAGGGCUGAGUAGGAACUUCAGAUUUUAUUUCCAGUUUCGUGCUCAAGAUAGCACAGGGCCUGGCCUGAGAAGGUGCUUAGGAAAUGUCUGUGGAGUAAAAAUGAUGGCAGCUAUAUUUCUUCAAUGAUUCCUACUUGCCCAGUGCUAUUUUGAGUGAUUUACAUGUGUGAACUCUUUAAACCUCACAACCACCUGAAGUUACUGUCGUUAUCCCCACUUACAUGUAAGGAAACUGAGGCAGAGAAGUAACUUACUCAAGGUUACACAGGUGAGAAGCGGCAGGACAGGGCCGGUUACUUUUAGCUAUUACAGGAAACAGCCUCCAGGUGAAUGGAAUAAAGCCUGCUGAUUAGUACUUUGUGAGAGGCUGAUGGGGCCAAGUAGAGUGCUGUGGUUUCUUCUGAAAGACAUUGCCUCAUGGGGGGAUUUUGCAACAAAUGGAACCUUCCACGCAGUCUGAAAGGCUACCUGUGCAACUCCAGCCUGGGCAUGGUCCCUCGUGGCUGCUCGGUCCCCCAGGCCUUUUUGAGACUCUAGUACAGCUUCUCUGGGCUGUAGGCCCCUAGCUACGAUGUCCCUUCGUUUCUUGUCUGGAACAUGGAUCUCAGAAUUAUAUCUGCCUCAGGGGCCUAAGAGAUGAUCAAAUGAAGGAGGGAAGGGCUUCAGUGAUUAUCAAGUGCAGGGCAGAGAUCCUUGUGGCUAUUUUUGUUGGUACAGGAAGAAAGUAAGGCGUGAUGAGAGUGAGAAACACUUAGCAUAUUUAGGAGAGUCUCCUGCUGUGGGCCAGGUGAGGAGGAGAAGGCCCCUGCCAUCCCCAGAGUAGCAUCUCAGGGCUGACUUGCAUUUGUUGCUUGAUCUUGCCUGGGAAAUGCAGUCUCCCUUGACUCACUCUUUUUUGUUUUGUUUUGUUUUGUUUUGUAAGGGUGAUUUCAUGAACAUUCUCAGAGACAGUCACACUAGAGUGCAGAGGGGCAAGGGCAUGGAAAUUAUGGGCUUGGACCCUGGAGCCAGAUGGCUUGGGUUUAUCUCCUGGCUCCAUGGCUGGUAGCAUAGCCUCCCAACCUUGGGCAAGUCACUUUACAUCUUUGACCUGCGGUUUUUUCUCCUGUAAAAUAGGAAAAUCAUGUUGAGGAAAGGGGCCUGUCUGGUGAGCCGAGUACUGGAUAUUAUGCUUGCAUUUCCUUCUGUUACAUCCCCACAGCAGCUAUAGGAGGUAGACCUCUCUAUCCCCAUUUUACAGAUGAGAACAGCAAGGUUCGGGUUGUUAAGUACCUUGACAGCUAAUGUCAAAGAGCAUGUAUGUGGCAGAGUGGGAAUUUAAGUCCAGGUUUUCUGGCUCUAAAGUCUUCAAUGUUUUCAUAGUUUGCUGCUUUGUAGCCUUAGAGCCCAGUGCAGGGCAGAUACAUGAUAAUUGUUAAAGGCUUGUCUUUUACAUAGUCUUGGUUGGGAGAGGGGGCUCCUAAGUGAUCUUCCAGAGCUGAAAAUCGGGGCCAGCUUCAGGUGCAUGCAAUCUGUGCAGUCACACAGGGUCCCCCACUUAGGAAGCCCCUCCCAUUUGGUUUAAUGCUGUGCUGUCGCCAUCUUGAAAUUCUUCAUUAUUUUUGUAGAAGAGGCCCCACAUUUUCAUUUCGCAUUGGGCCCAUUCUGUAGCUGCUGCUGUUUAAAGUAUUGAGAGAAGUGAAAAAUGGUGAGGGCAUGAGAGCCCUGUUCCCCCUCUAGGGGGCCUGAUCAGUGGCCAUCAGCCCUUGGGCCAGCUUGGAAUCAUGAAGAUGUGUGCUGACUGGCCACUUCAUAUCUUCACAAACAUCUAGAACCAUGGCAGCAAAAGACGAUUCUAGUAGACCUUUCACCAAGAUGGUUAGUUAGCAGGGCUGGUGUGUCAUCCCAGGGGACAUAAGCCUGAUUUUCCUUGGUGAGGGGUGAUUUUCAGGCCUGCUGGAGGACACAUAACAGAGGUAAAUGUGCAGGU
rnacentral:lncRNA from 1 species